rnacentral:rRNA from 1 species
GAUGAACGCUGGCGGCGUGCUUAACACAUGCAAGUCGAACGGAAAGGCCCUGCUUUUGUGGGGUGCUCGAGUGGCGAACGGGUGAGUAACACGUGAGUAACCUGCCCUUGACUUUGGGAUAACUUCAGGAAACUGGGGCUAAUACCGGAUAGGAGCUCCUGCUGCAUGGUGGGGGUUGGAAAGUUUCGGCGGUUGGGGAUGGACUCGCGGCUUAUCAGCUUGUUGGUGGGGUAGUGGCUUACCAAGGCUUUGACGGGUAGCCGGCCUGAGGGGGUGACCGGCCACAUUGGGACUGAGAUACGGCCCAGACUCCUACGGGAGGCAGCAGUGGGGAAUAUUGCACAAUGGGCGGAAGCCUGAUGCAGCAACGCCGCGUGCGGGAUGACGGCCUUCGGGUUGUAAACCGCUUUCGCCUGUGACGAAGCGUGAGUGACGGUAAUGGGUAAAGAAGCACCGGCUAACUACGUG